CCAGACUGCACACUUCUGUAAAGAAGUAUGUCUCGUUCUGCUUGUGGCGAUACCUCGGUGCCCAUGCUACUUAUGUGCAGGUCAGAGGUUAAAGUGUCUAUGACCAGAAGCUGGAGGGACUUUUCCGCAGUGGAUGCCGAUAGAAUACACGGAAGCAACUUCACAUACGAAAAUGCAUGCUUCAACACCUCGUAGUUUCCGUCAACUCGAAUUUUAAACAUCGCGAUUCACUCCGACGCUGGCACACCUAGCGUCAAAUCAAGAAAACAUACGUAUAUAUAGAACCUUCAUCUGAUCAUCCCAGUGGGAUGACGUCAAACGGCCAUGCAAUCAACGAGCAGAAUGCCGUCACUUCAUCAAACACUACAACAACUUUCUGCAAGAACCAACGUUUCUGCGCCAAUAUACUGUUGUCACAAUGUCUGGAAAUAAAAAGUAUGUACAUAGUUCGA